GAGGAAAAGAAAAUAACCAUGAUUCCCCUAGUAACGGCGAGUGAAGAGGGAAAAGCUCAAAGUUGGAACCUGGCUGCCCUAGGCAGUCCGGAUUGUAAACUAAAGAGCGUGAUUCCAGGCAAGCCGGUUGAUCAAGUCCUUUGGAAUGAGGCGCCACUGAGGGUGAGAGCCCCGUAAGUCGACUGAGCAUUUGUCUUUUGUGUUUCGCGUUCAAAGAGUCAGGUUGUUUGGGAAUGCAGCCUAAAGCUGGUGGUAAAUCCCACCUAAAGCUAAAUACAGGCGAGAGACCGAUAGCGAACAAGUACCGUGAGGGAAAGAUGAAAAGAACUUUGAAAAGAGAGUUAAACAGUAUGUGAAAUUGCCAAGAGGGAAGCAUUUGGAGUUAGAUUGACUAGGAGUUAAUCAGCUUGGUCUUUGGACUGGGUGUACUUGACUUCUAUUGGUCUGCCAAUAGCAGUUAGUCCUAGUGGAAAAAACCAGAGGGAAGGUAGUCCUUCGGGAUGUUUAUAGACCUUUGGAAAAUACACUGGGAUUGACUGAGGAAUGCAGUAGAUGCCACUAAGGCUUCGUCUAGUGGGUGCUAGGCAAAGGUACUUGGUAUUUUCAGCUUGCUGAUGUGCUAGGUUACUCGAGUCUAGUCGCCUACUAGAACUGUAAUCUACUUUGGUUAUUGGCUUAAUGACUCUAAAUGGCCCGUCU
rnacentral:rRNA from 1 species